rnacentral:lncRNA from 1 species
CAGCUAUGUGCAUUGCGGAAAGGCCAUGUGAAGCUGGCCUUCUGCAAACCAGAAAGAGAGCCUCACCAGAAACGGACUCUGCCUGACCUUGAUCUGGGACUUCCAGCCUCCAGAGCUAAUGGAAAUAACAUAAGCCAUGUCUGAUUUUUGAAAGUAUAAACUGAAGUAUGAAAAAGGCCCAGAGGCUCUUUGCUGAGCUGAACAUGAACCCAAGAAGAUAUUAGUCUGAAGUUCCUGGGGGCCAUCAUAAGAAGAUCCAUCCAAGAGGGAAGCCAACAAAUGAGAGACAAAUGAAGAAAAGAGACCACAGAAAUGGAGACCAGCUGGUGGACAUGUUUUGGAUUUACAGUGCAUCAGAGCAGUCUGAGAUGAGUGAACACAAUGGAUUAUAGAGGUUCCAUUUCAGUAGACCAAGCACAGACUUCCAGGAAGCCUUUGAUAGGCAGGCUUUGCUGGGUUGCCUCCACCAUUCCAUCAAGCUUCCUCUGACUCUGUCUGAUAUGAUUGACAAGUAUGCAGAAUUUUAAAGUGGAAUAAAGGCACAGAGAAAGAACUACUUUUCUUUGAUCAAUUUGGUGCAGUUUUAUAACAACAUAUUAAGAAAGAACUGCUUUGUAAAAUAAAAAUGUAAGCAGAAUUCUAGUGUAGCAAAUACAUAUACACGUAUGUAAAAGAAUAAAGAUCUGUGUAGGAAGAAUUGGAGGCCAGGAUAAGAGCCUCAAAGGGUGCCCUGUGUAGAGAAUCUAAAACUUAAUUCUUCAAUGUGAACAAUCUACAGAGAAGAAAACUGGAAAGGAGAGCAAGGAACAGAUGAAAUAUAAAAAGAAAGAUUUUUGAUACACAUAAGAGGUAAUUCAAGUCUCAAGAACAUGAUCUAGAAUCAUGAUAAAAAGAGAAGUGCUGAUGAAGGCUUAAAAAUCCAGGCAGAUUCAGGAGAUGCCCCUGGAUUCCACGUUUCCCAGUGUGCUUCCCAGAUCUCACCCAGGGAACCAAGUACCCAUCCAUUUUCUUUACCUCAUUUAGAAAAAGCAGGGACUUCAAGCCAGACUAGUUGCUUCUCAAGGGGAGAAGAUAUUUCUUCUUCUUUUCCUUCUCCUCCUUCUUCUCCUUUCUUCUUGUUUCCCAGGGUAUUCCACAGUGGCUAUCAGAUACCGUUGAAUUGAUUGAUUAAUUAAUUACAAUUGAAAGUGACAAUGGCAUUCUGAACUAACC